CUCAGCUCCUUCAGACUAGCCAGCAGCAAUUAGCAAACACCUGGUGGAACUGCGGAUCAGCUGAGCUCAUUAUAGGAUCUACUUCUCAGAACAAAAUUGGUAAAAAACAUUGUUAAAGGGUUAAUAGAGGAACCAUGUUGUGAUCACUUCCUGAAGGUGUUAUUUCAGAAAGAGCAGAAGUUUCUUAAAGAGACGGGAACCCAAUUUCUAGCCGUUAAAGUACAAAGACAAAUUUCUUUGAAGUUGUAUUUCUUAUAUUUAGCAUUUUAUAACAACUGAAGGUAACAUGGCUGCUUAAUUGUGCUAUUAAGCUAUUCUAUAUGUCUGGAAAACACACAACACUGCCCCUUUUAAUAAGGCGCCCGAGCAGAAUUUAGUAAUUCCCCUCACCCACCCACUGCUACACACUCCCUAUGUUGCAGAAAGAAAGCAACUGCACUUUUCUCUCACUUAGAGGAGAGGUAAACUGGAGCGAAAAUGUUCGAACCAUAGACAGAGGUCUCAUUGUAACUGUUGUGUCUAUAAUUAGCUCGUCUGUUCAGCAGCAGACUGCAGGCAGGCUACCCGAGCGGAUAGCCUUACUAAUUAACAUGCUAAUAUCGGCUUAUUAUACUUGUUACUCUUGAAACUUGAAAUUUCUGACUAAUUAUUAUUUUACAUUCUUGCUUAACUGAAUGAAAAUAGAAAUAACUGAAUGCUAGACCAUUAGAAAAAAAAUCAAUACUUCAGUGGCAGUUGGAAAAGUUGUCUGUUUCAAUUAAAGUAACUAGAUUCUAUUUUAUGUCUGUUUAAAAUGUAGUUGUAAAUUGUGUUUUUAUUCAAUGUUAUGAGAAUGUCACACUGGCCCGUGCCUAGCGGCGUCCCUUAAGACUUUUAAGGACGACUUGACUCUUGGCAUAGAGAAAUCUGUCACAUUUAGGAUCAGAUUUUUAUUUUAUUUUUUCAAAGCAAUACCCAUAAGAGUGCUACUUAAUGUCUGCAAGCAAAGCACAGCUGUGCAACAGCACUAUCAGUUUCAUUUAGUGGUUGUGGCUGGUUUUUAUAUGCAGUCUCACCUCCUUGUAAAGUGCUCAAGUUACACUAUAGUGCUCAACACCAGAUCCUGGUUACUGCUAAGAAAACCCAGACAAACAGAACCACAUACCGAACACCUGUCCUAGCUGGUUUUAUGAAACUGGAGGAUUUUAAAUUUGCUUAUGAAGAGGGUAAACUCGAAGCUGGAAUGAUUUAUAUUUGCUCCAUAUGGGUUCUGUUAGAAUUCUGGUAGAAUUGGCCUUUAUAGGAUAAAUACAAAGUGGCCUUCUCUUGAUGCAUGUACUACUAAUGGUUCAUGUACUGUUUGUAUAUUUAUUUAUACAUUUUUUUUAGGCCUUUAAGGAGAUUAUAAGAUUUUUUUGGUUAUUAUGAAUAUGAGUGUGGAAGAGAUUAUUUUGAAUUCUACCUUCAGACCAGUUUCAAAAUAAUAUUACGCUGCAGCUAUGAAUGUUAGUUUUAAACAGGGAUUUUUUUUUCUUUCUUUUCCUUUUUACAGAAAAAAUACAAUUUAAUGUACAGGGACAAAAAUAUUCAUACUUCCACAUAGUGCAAUCCACGUUUUGUCACCGUACAAACAGAAACUUUGUUUUUUUAUUAUUAUUAUUGGGGUUUUUGGGACAGAAACAAAGUGGUUCAUUCUUAUGAAGUUUAAAGCUUCAUGUCUGACUUGUAGUGUUCACCAUCUUCCCUGUCGAUGCUGAGAAGAGGCAUCCCCACAGCAUGAUGCUACCACCCCUGUGUUUUACUGCGGAAAGGUAUCUUCAGAAUAGGCAUUCGCCACUAAAUUGGUCGGCCUCGAUUUCCUUCAUGUCUGCAGUGAACAAUAGUCACCCCACUGUUGCUAACUUUGUGACUUUGUCAUUAUAUUUACAGGUUUUAAGGUAAAACAAACAAACAAACAAAAAAAAAAAACAAUAUCAGCCAGAAUCAGAAUUGCCAUUUGAAGAUUGGCCUAGAAACUGCAAUCAGUGCACCCCUACUGAUGUACAGUGGUAGUUUUUGGCCAAAAUGUGCCAAUUUCCUCCCAUUUUCCCAUAUUAAAUCAAAAAAAUAUGC